UAAAAAUUUUUGUAGUUUGUGAAGUUUAUUUAAAGUUUAUUUUACAUAUAAAUUUUAGUGUUAAUUUUAGUUUAUUUUAAUAAUAAAUUAAUAAUUUAAUUUAGUAAUUAAUAUUAAAAUAUUUAAGAAAUUAAUAUUUAGUAAUAUUUAAAUUAAUAACUAAUUUUGUGCCAGCAGUUGCGGUUAAACAAAAAUUAAAUUAAAUUUUAUUAGUAAAAUUAAUUAAUAUUUAAUAAAAUAAAUAAUUUAAAUUUUAAAUUAUUAAGUGAAAUUUUUAAUUUAAUAAAAUAUUAUUUAUAAUAUAUGAUUUAAUAAAUUUUUAUAAAAACUAGGAUUAGAUACCCUAUUAUUAAAAUUUUAAAUUAUAAUACUAAAAUAGUAAUUAAUUAUUUAUUGAAACUUAAACAAUUUGGCGGUAUUUUAGUUCAUUUAGAGGAAUCUGUUUAAUAAUUGAUAAUCCACGAAUAAAUUUACUUAAUUUUUAAUUUUGUAUAUCGUUGUUAAAAAAAUAUUUUUUAAUAAAAAUAAUAUUUAAAAAUUAAAAAAAAAAUUAAAUCAGAUCAAGAUGCAGAUUAUAAUUAAGAAUAUAAUGGAUUACAAUAAAUUUAUUUAAAUGAAUAUUAAUUUGUAAAAAUUAAUUGAAAUUGGAUUUAAAUGUAAUUUUAUUUAAUUUAAUAAAAUGAUUUAAAAUUGAAAUAUGUACAUAUUGCCCGUCGCUUUCAUAUAAAUAAAGUUGAAAUAAGUCGUAACAAAGUAGAGGUACUGGAAAGUGUUUCUAGAAAGA
rnacentral:ncRNA from 1 species